rnacentral:rRNA from 1 species
UACAGAGGUCCCAAGCGUUGUUCGGAUUCACUGGGCGUAAAGGGUGCGCAGGUGGGUUUGCAAGUUCGAUGUGAAAGCCCCGGGCUUAACCCGGGAAUGGCAUUGGAUACUGCAGAUCUGGAGGAUCGGAGGGGGGACUGGAAUUCUUGGUGUAGCAGUGAAAUGCGUAGAUAUCAAGAGGAACACCAGUGGCGAAGGCGAGUCCCUGGACGAUACCUGACACUGAGGCACGAAAGCUAGGGGAGCGAACGGG